UACUUAGUGUGGCAUAGUGGAUUGGGUGUUAGACUAGGACUCUGGAGACUAGGGUUCAAUUCCUUGCUUGGCCA